rnacentral:rRNA from 1 species
GGGAAUAUUGGGCAAUGGAGGAAACUCUGACCCAGCAAUGCCGCGUGAAUGAAGAAGGUCUUCGGAUUGUAAAGUUCUUUAGUCAGGGAAGAAGUCAAUGACGGUACCUGAAGAAUAAGCUCCGGCUAACUACGUGCCAGCAGCCGCGGUAAUACGUAGGGAGCAAGCGUUGUUCGGAAUGACUGGGCGUAAAGGGUGCGUAGGCGGUUGUACAAGUUAGAAGUGAAAUACCCAGGGCUUAACUCGGGUGCUGCUUCUAAAACUGUAUGACUUGAGUGCAGUAGAGGUUAGUGGAAUUCCUAGUGUAGCGGUGGAAUGCGUAGAUAUUAGGAGGAACACCAGAGGCGAAGGCGGCUAACUGGACUGCAACUGACGCUGAGGCACGAAAGUGUGGGGAGCAAACAGG